ACUGACCACACCAUGGAAUUCUUACAUUCAAUCUUUGAAAUUGGGAAGAGUACGUGGGAAGCAACUCAAAAAUGGAUUGGAUAUAUCAAUUGCCUUGAUGCUAACAUGAAAAAUCUCAAACGAAAGACAGAAUACUUAAGCAGUCAAGAGAAUGACAUAAAUAAAGAAGUGAGCAUUGCAGAGCAGCGGUCAAGGAAAAGGCGAAAGAAAAGAAGUUGAAGUUUGGCAAAAAGAUGUGCAAAGGAUAAGAGGUGAUGUCCAAACAUUGCAAAUACAAGAGCAAGAAAUAGUCGGAUGGAAGAAUGUCUUCGUGCGCGUACGGUUGGAAAGCUUUUUGUGGAGAAGAUUAAGGAAGUGGCAGAGGUGCAAGAAAAGGGCAGAUUUUCUAAUGAUUUGUUGAUUGAUGCAUUUCCAAGUUGUGCACAGUUGAUACCAACUACUGGAUCUCUUGGUGAAAUCACGAGUGCAAGGAACAUGGAGAAAGUUUGGGAAUACCUGAUGGAUGAUGAGGUUAGAAGGAUUGGCAUUUACGGAAAGGGGGAAGUUGGCAAAACAACCAUCAUGCAUCACAUCAACAAUCGAUUCUUGAAUGAACUUGUAACGUCGGUGAUGUUAUUUGGGUAACAGUAUCUAAAGCAUUCAAUGUUAGAAAUCUACAGAGGCAGAUAAUUGAAGCCCUGGAUCUUGAUCUUUCAAAUUAUGCAGAUGAAACAAGAAGAGCAUCAGAAAUAUAUACAAUGCUUUCCCAAAAGAAGAGGCAUGUGCUCAUCUUAGACGAUCUAUGGGAAACAUUUCCUCUAGAGUAUUGUUGGCAACUAGAGUAUGUGCCAUCACUGGAGAAACUAAAGGCAUUGAAAGAGUUGAAACUGACUGAAAGUCAGAUUGAAGAAGUACCACAAGGUUUAGAAGAAUUGAGUAAUCUCAGGAAUCUUGAUCUCUCCCAGGCUACAUAUGUUUUCUUCUUGGGAGUUAUGCAGACUUUCACAACUCCAAUGCCUUAGAAUUAACAGAACAAAAGUAUAUGUGUCGGCAGAAGAGCUGUUGUGCUUGACGCAAUUAAAAGUUCUUGGAGCUCAGUUUCACAAUGUGCAAGAGCUUACCAGUUUUGUGACAUCUCAGCAGUGCCAAAGUUUGGAAAACUACCACGUUAUGGUGGGAAAUGUUUAUAAAAAUGACCGAGAUGACAUACAAGAAGACUACUUUGCUGAAUCGAAAGAAAUUUGUACCUAUGACUCUAAACUUUUAAGAAGUACUGGAGUAGAUCUUCUAGUGCUCCCCUGCAACAAAGAGAUCCUCGAGAUUAGAAGAUGUCACUAUUUGAUUAGCUUGAUGGAUAUUCAGUUGUUGAGGGAUGCAAGAGAUUUAAGAAUAUGUGAAAUCCGAGACUGUAAUGGGAUAGAAUCCAUCUUUUCAUUAUCAUCCUUCUCAGAAGGCUACCACACCCCGCUAAGAAGGGUUGAGGAAUUAUGGUUUAGUGAUUUACCCAAUCUUAGGGUGCUCUUUGAUGGAGUUAUUCCACCAUGCAACAUUUCCUUUAACCUUAAGGAAUUGUACUUCUAUAGAUGUCCUAGAAUCAAGAUUAUUUUCCCUGCAAAGUUUUUGCAGAAAUUUCCAAACUUUGAGGAACUUGUAGUGUGUGAUUGUGAGAAUGUGGAGGACAUAAUGGUGGAAGCAGAGAUGAGUGACUGGGGCAAUCAUCAAGACGAUAGUAACACAGUCAUACUCCCAAAUUUCAAGAUUUUAAAACUAGAAAAUCUACCAAGACCAAGAGCAUAUGUAAGGGCAUAAUGGUUUGUGAAUCUUUGAGACAUGUUUAUAUAAGCAAGUGUCCCAUGGUAAGGAGACUGCCUCUUUCUUUGCACAUGGAUAGUGAGCAAGUAUCAGCACCACCUGCUCUUCGGUCCAUUGGAGGAGAGGAAGAAUGGUGGGAAUCUUUGGAAUGAGAUGAUCCCCAUGCCAAAACCACUCUACAGCCUUUGUUCUUUCGAAUUCAAGGUUUGUGAAGAAUUUUGUGAACUCUUUGGCUUACAGGUUUGGAUUCAUUUCACUGCAGUAAAGGGGGUCCAGAGGAAUGGUAUUGUGCAAAUCAUUUUUGGGAUAAAGUGCUAAGAGUAGAGUUAUUUUGAAUUAUUUUGCUGAGACAUUACCUUUCACUUAAAUUAUAGAACUCUAGUUUACUUUGAUGGUGACAAUAUAUGAACUCCAACUAAACUGAAUAUGUGGAUUGUUGUUGAGACUUUUGGUAUUGUUGAUUAAAGUAUUACUGAGGUUUUAUCUCUUGAUUGCCAGGAUUAUUGUGGAAUGAGAUUGGAUUUCUCAUCUCAACCGCCCUGCAUACUCACAGGGUGAAGUCUUAUAGGCGUGUGGCAUUGUCAGGUGCCUAGCUUGGCUAGUUUUGCCCAUAAUGUUUUUUUCGUUUAAAAUUCAAAGGAUUGACGGUAUAAUUUAUUUAU